AACGCACAUUGCGCUCUCUGGUAUUCCGGAGAGCAUGCCCGUUUCAGAAUCAGCGACAAUCAUCACCCUGGAGGGUUCCGGUCCGUCUGGAUCGGUUCUCGCUCGGGUGGAAUUUGGACGCGAUGUCACCUCUUCGGGGGAAAAGGAGACUCGUCCCAAAGACAUGGGAAAAUUGCCGAGGCGACCCGUUUUUUCGGAAACGGACCUGGCAAGGAAGAAACAAAAGCCUCACACGGUUUGGAAACUACUCCUUGCUGGGUUUCAGGAGCCUUUUGGGAAGCGUUUUCCGAAGCGCCCGUCCGGUAAUCGAAUCGGGGGCAACGAGCGGAUCCCUGGGAUUCACUCAAAAACUUGGUCUGAAAUCGGGCAAGAAAACCCGCUGAACUUAA
rnacentral:misc_RNA from 1 species